rnacentral:rRNA from 1 species
CGGGCGUUAAGUUGCAGGGUAUAGACCCGAAACCCGGUGAUCUAGCCAUGGGCAGGUUGAAGGUUGGGUAACACUAACUGGAGGACCGAACCGACUAAUGUUGAAAAAUUAGCGGAUGACCUGUGGCUGGGGGUGAAAGGCCAAUCAAACCGGGAGAUAGCUGGUUCUCCCCGAAAGCUAUUUAGGUAGCGCCUCGUGAAUUCAUCUCCGGGGGUAGAGCACUGUUUCGGCUAGGGGGCCAUCCCGGCUUACCAACCCGAUGCAAACUGCGAAUACCGGAGAAUGUUAUCACGGGAGACACACGGCGGGUGCUAACGUCCGUCGUGAAGAGGGAAACAACCCAGACCGCCAGCUAAGGUCCCAAAGUCAUGGUUAAGUGGGAAACGAUGUGGGAAGGCCCAGACAGCCAGGAUGUUGGCUUAGAAGCAGCCAUCAUUUAAAGAAAGCGUAAUAGCUCACUGGUCGAGUCGGCCUGCGCGGAAGAUGUAACGGGGCUAAACCAUGCACCGAAGCUGCGGCAGCGACACUGUGUGUUGUUGGGUAGGGGAGCGUUCUGUAAGCCUGUGAAGGUGUGUCGUGAGGCAUGCUGGAGGUAUCAGAAGUGCGAAUGCUGACAUAAGUAGCGAUAAAGCGGGUGAAAAGCCCGCUCGCCGGAAGACCAAGGGUUCCUGUCCAACGUUAAUCGGGGCAGGGUGAGUCGACCCCUAAGGCGAGGCCGAAAGGCGUAGUCGAUGGGAAACGGGUUAAUAUUCCCGUACUUGGUGUUACUGCGAAGGGGGGACGGAGAAGGCUAUGUUGGCCGGGCGACGGUUGUCCCGGUUUAAGCGUGUAGGUGUGUGUUCCAGGUAAAUCCGGUUCACUUUAACACUGAGGCGUGACGACGAGGCACUACGGUGCUGAAGCAACAAAUGCCCUGCUUCCAGGAAAAGCCUCUAAGCAUCAGGUAACAUCAAAUCGUACCCCAAACCGACACAGGUGGUCAGGUAGAGAAUACCAAGGCGCUUGAGAGAACUCGGGUGAAGGAACUAGGCAAAAUGGUGCCGUAACUUCGGGAGAAGGCACGCUGACACGUAGGUGAAGUGAUUUACUCAUGGAGCUGAAGUCAGUCGAAGAUACCAGCUGGCUGCAACUGUUUAUUAAAAACACAGCACUGUGCAAACACGAAAGUGGACGUAUACGGUGUGACGCCUGCCCGGUGCCGGAAGGUUAAUUGAUGGGGUCAGCGCAAGCGAAGCUCCUGAUCGAAGCCCCGGUAAACGGCGGCCGUAACUAUAACGGUCCUAAGGUAGCGAAAUUCCUUGUCGGGUAAGUUCCGACCUGCACGAAUGGCGUAAUGAUGGCCAGGCUGUCUCCACCCGAGACUCAGUGAAAUUGAACUC